GACAACAAUUGGAAACGAUUGCUAAUACCGGAUAUGCCUACGGGUAAAAGGCUUGCUGCCUGAAGAAGAGCUUGCGUCCGAUUAGCUAGUUGGUGGGGUAAAGGCUUACCAAGGCGGAGAUCGGUAGCUGGUCUGAGAGGAUGACCAGCCACACUGGGACUGAGACAAGGCCCAGACUCCUACGGGAGGCAGCAGUGGGGAAUUUUCCGCAAUGGGCGAAAGCCUGACGGAGCAAUACCGCGUGAGGGAAGAAGGCUCUUGGGUUGUAAACCUCUUUUCUCAGGGAAUAAAAAAAUGAAGGUACCUGAGGAAUAAGCAUCGGCUAACUCCGUGCCAGCACGCCGCGGUAAUACGGAGGAUGC
rnacentral:rRNA from 1 species